UUCGAACNUGGAGCAGCUUGGUAGCUCGUCGGGCUCAUAACCCGAAGGUCGUCGGUUCAAAUCCGGCUCCCGCAACCA
rnacentral:tRNA from 1 species